GAUGAACGCUAGCUACAGGCUUAACACAUGCAAGUCGAGGGACCGGCGCACGGGUGAGUCACACGUAUCCCACCUGCCCUUUACUCGGGGAUAGCCUUUCGCACGACCGAUUAAUACCCGCUGUAAAGGAUGGGGAUGCGUUCCAUUAGGUUGUUGGUGAGGUAACGGCUCACCAAGCCUUCGAUGGAGAGGGGUUCUGAGAGGAAGGGCCCCCACAUUGGAAAUGAGACACGGGCCAAACUCCGAGGGGAGGAAGCAGUGAGGAAUAUUGGUAAAUGGGCGUUAGCCUGAACCAGCCAAGUAGCGUGAAGGAUGAAGGCUUAUGGGUCGUAAACUUCUUUUAUAUAAGAAUAUGUAUUAUAUGAAUAAGGAUCGGCUAACUCCGGGCCAGCAGCCGCGGUAAUUC
rnacentral:rRNA from 1 species